GAUGAAGAACGCAGCGAAAUGCGAUACGUAAUGUGAAUUGCAGAAUUCAGUGAAUCAUCGAGUCUUUGAACGCACAUUGCGCCCCCUGGUAUUCCGGGGGGCAUGUCUGUCCGAGCGUCAUUGCUGCCCUCAAGCACGGCUUGUGUGUUGGGCCUCCGUCCUCCUCCCGGGGGACGGGCCCGAAAGGCAGCGGCGGCACCGCGUCCGGUCCUCGAGCGUAUGGGGCUUCGUCACCCGCUCUUGUAGGCCCGGCCGGCGCUUGCCGACACAUCAAUCUUUUUUCCAGGUUGACCUCGGAUCAGGUAGGGAUACCCGCUGAACUUAAGCAUAUCAAUAAGCGGAGGA
rnacentral:misc_RNA from 1 species